CCGAAUAUCCGGUUUGAACCGAAUAUUUACGGAUAUCCGACCGGAUAUCCGGUUUCGUUGAUUUAAAACAAAAUCUUCAAUUUUUAAAAUUAUAAUGAGAUAACAUAUAUAAUUAAAAUGUAUCAUCAUAGCAAACAUUACAAAUACCAAAAAUUUAAAAGCAUUCAAGUAGCAUUCAAAUAACACAAAGUUUAAAAGUUUACAUAACAAAAGAGAAAACAGUAAUAGAGAAGUUAAUUUAUCUUCAUAUUCUUGUAUUAUCUAUUUUCAUGUUCUUCUCUCACAAUCUGAAAUAGAAAAUUA
rnacentral:lncRNA from 1 species